rnacentral:rRNA from 1 species
UACGGAGGGUGCGAGCGUUGUCCGGAAUCAUCGGUGGCGUAAAGGGCGCGUAGGUGGCCCCUCAAGCGUGCGGUGAAAGUCAGGGGCUCAACCCCUGAUCGGCCGUGCGAACUGGGGAGCUUGAGCACUGUAGAGGCAGGCGGAAUUCCGGGUGUAGCGGUGGAAUGCGUAGAGAUCCGGAAGAACACCGGUGGCGAAGGCGGCCUGCUGGGCAGUUUUGCUGACACUGAGGCGCGACAGCGUGGGGAGCAAACAGG